rnacentral:lncRNA from 1 species
UUUGUGCUAGACUUUGUGAUCAUAUGUGCUUUGGUGACCUUGCUCCAUUCAUCUUAUUGUGAGAUGCUUGAUUUUAAUCCAAAUUGCUUGAAAUUUUGCAUGAUUGUUCUUGACAUGUUGCUGGACCUUUGAGGCUUGAUUGUGCAUUUUUCUCAUUUGCCAUUUCUGUUUUAUGCACAUGUUUUGUAGGGUGUGACAAUGUAUGUCACACAAUUGAUUGUCCAACUUGUGCAAUUUAAUUUCCAUGCCAAAUGAUCUUUGAUGCUUCUGAUUUUUU